rnacentral:rRNA from 1 species
UACAGAGGGUGCGAGCGUUGUUCGGAAUUAUUGGGCGUAAAGGGCGCGUAGGCGGCCACGCACGUCCGUUGUGAAAUCGCCCGGCUCAACUGGGCGGGGUCGGCGGAUACGGCGUGGCUGGAGCAAGCUAGGGGGCAAUGGAAUUCCCGGUGUAGUGGUGGAAUGCGUAGAUAUCGGGAGGAACACCAGUGGCGAAGGCGGUUGCCUGGAGCUUUGCUGACGCUGAGGCGCGAAAGCGUGGGGGGCGAUCCGG